GGGAUGAAGACUUCUUUAUACUGCUUCCAAGCUCUGCCCUGAUGCAUUGUGUAACCUUGGGCAAGUCAUUUAACUUGUCUUGCUCAUCCAUCAGAUAGAAAUAUGAUGCUUAUCUGUUGCAUGAAAAUGAGUUAAUUGCUGUUUGCCAACUGCUUUCAUCUCUUUGGAUGAAUCAGAUUGAGGCCACAUAUGUAAGCGUAUAUAAUUUUGCAUGUGUAUUUUUAUUUGGAGCUUGCUUAUGUCUUGCAGCAUUGCAUCUUCAGGUCAACACUGGUUAUCUGCUUGGCAGGGAGCCCCUAUUGUACAUUUCUGAUGUAAUGCAAAUCAUAGCAAUGAGAAACACAUAAGUGAAAGGUAUUACACUUAUCAUCAUCAUUAGCUGUUGUUGUUGUUGUUGCUGCUGGUGUUAUUGUUAUUAUUAUUAUAGUCUCACACUUGGAUGCAGAGAUAGGACCACUUUAAAAAAAUAUGGCCCCAAGAAAGAAGUCUUCUUGAGAAUAAGUCUCCUAAAAUAAAAUGAAUGGGAGAGGCCUGGGCCUGGAGCUGCCUUUACACAAAUGUGUUGCUAUAAAAUUUCCCAGGGGCAUCACCAAAUCUCUAAAUUCAUUUAUUUAUAGGCUUUACUACUCAGGAACUGACCUAUGAAAAUGCUUGGUCAGAGGGUGGUUCUCACCAGAACAACAGAUCUCCUCCCUUGGGGAGGAGUCAUAGCGCUCACAACUUGUUUGAUUUUGGGUAACAGAAGGAAAUUGAUGUGAGAGACUCAGAAGGAAAUAAUAAGGAGAGAUUAUUUAAACCACAGAUACAGCUCAGAAAGAAGUCCAAGGGCUGUAUAACUCUUGGAAGCAAAGUGUGUUCCUCAACCAUCAUUGGAGGCACUAUGGACUGUACCUUGUCAGUGACACAUGGAGCUGACUUUGCUGCUGAAGGAUGUGGAGUUGCCUACAGAGGCCAAAGGAGACACCAUUGCUUUGGGAAGCAGGGCUGGAGCAAGCAGCAGACAACAGCAAUCUGAUAUGCCUGAAAGGUGCAACCUCCCAGCUUACAUCUGAGUUUGAAAGCACUGCAGAGAUGUUCCUCCCAAGGGCGGGCUCCAAAGCUUUGGAACUUCUGCUCUUUAAGUCUCAUGGACUGCAACAACAGAGCAUCCUCCAUAUCGAGCUCUUGGCAUGUUGUGUCUGGACUCAUUCCCAGGCCCCAUGGUGGGAGAAACACACAUUUUCUACCCAGUGGCUCUUCUAG
rnacentral:lncRNA from 1 species